AUGCAAGUCGAGCGAACAGAUAAGGAGCUUGCUCCUUUGACGUUAGCGGCGGACGGGUGAGUAACACGUGGGUAACCUACCUAUAAGACUGGGAUAACUUCGGGAAACCGGAGCUAAUACCGGAUAAUAUUUCGAACCGCAUGGUUCGAUAGUGAAAGAUGGUUUUGCUAUCACUUAUAGAUGGACCCGCGCCGUAUUAGCUAGUUGGUAAGGUAACGGCUUACCAAGGCGACGAUACGUAGCCGACCUGAGAGGGUGAUCGGCCACACUGGAACUGAGACACGGUCCAGACUCCUACGGGAGGCAGCAGUAGGGAAUCUUCCGCAAUGGGCGAAAGCCUGACGGAGCAACGCCGCGUGAGUGAUGAAGGUCUUCGGAUCGUAAAACUCUGUUAUUAGGGAAGAACAUACGUGUAAGUAACUGUGCACGUCUUGACGGUACCUAAUCAGAAAGCCACGGCUAACUACGUGCCAGCAGCCGCGGUAAUACGUAGGUGGCAAGCGUUAUCCGGAAUUAUUGGGCGUAAAGCGCGCGUAGGCGGUUUUUUAAGUCUGAUGUGAAAGCCCACGGCUCAACCGUGGAGGGUCAUUGGAAACUGGAAAACUUGAGUGCAGAAGAGGAAAGUGGAAUUCCAUGUGUAGCGGUGAAAUGCGCAGAGAUAUGGAGGAACACCAGUGGCGAAGGCGACUUUCUGGUCUGUAACUGACGCUGAUGUGCGAAAGCGUGGGGAUCAAACAGGAUUAGAUACCCUGGUAGUCCACGCCGUAAACGAUGAGUGCUAAGUGUUAGGGGGUUUCCGCCCCUUA
rnacentral:rRNA from 1 species